GACAGAGGGUGCAAGCGUUGUUCGGAAUUAUUGGGCGUAAAGGGCGCGUAGGCGGUCUGUUAAGUCGGGUGUGAAAGCCCUGGGCUCACCCCAGGAAGUGCAUUCGAAACUGGCAGACUCGAGUGUCGGAGAGGGUCGUGGAAUUCCCGGUGUAGAGGUGAAAUUCGUAGAUAUCGGGAGGAACACCAGCGGCGAAGGCGGCGACCUGGACGAACACUGACGCUGAGGCGCGAAAGCGUGGGUAG
rnacentral:rRNA from 1 species